rnacentral:rRNA from 1 species
AUGUGGCUUGUUGUUCAUAGAAGGUGUCUGACGGCUGAUAAUUUAGAAAGAAGGAACUGGCCAUCCAACGGAGUUUGCCCCCUGUGUUCCUCUGAACCUGAAACUUGCUCGCACUUAUUUGUUCACUGCAGUUUCAGUAUUCAGGUUUGGGCGAGGUUCAGCGAUUGGGCACGAGCUGAUUUUCAGACUCCUGAUCUCAACUUCAGCACCACGGAAGACUGGUGGUUGAAGGCUAGGGCGGGGAUCCCCAAGCAAAUGAGGCGUAAUUUUGACACUAUGGCCAUCCUUCAUUGGAGGAUCUGAAAGGAAAGAAAUGCAAGGAUCUUCGACAAUGCGGCGAGCACUCCUGACAGGGUUCGAGACCUGUUCUUGGAAGAUAUACACAUAUGGAGAUCAGCCGGCUGUAUCAGCGACUUGGCGACAUAA